UGGACUCUGGGAUAAGCGCUGGAAACGGCGUCUAAUACUGGAUAUGAGCUUUCACCGCAUGGUGGGGGUUGGAAAGAUUUUUCGGUCUGGGAUGGGCUCGCGGCCUAUCAGCUUGUUGGUGAGGUAAUGGCUCACCAAGGCGUCGACGGGUAGCCGGCCUGAGAGGGUGACCGGCCACACUGGGACUGAGACACGGCCCAGACUCCUACGGGAGGCAGCAGUGGGGAAUAUUGCACAAUGGGCGGAAGCCUGAUGCAGCAACGCCGCGUGAGGGAUGACGGCCUUCGGGUUGUAAACCUCUUUUAGCAGGGAAGAAGCGAGAGUGACGGUACCUGCAGAAAAAGCGCCGGCUAACUACGUGCCAGCAGCCGCGGUAAUACGUAGGGCGCAAGCGUUAUCCGGAAUUAUUGGGCGUAAAGAGCUCGUAGGCGGUUUGUCGCGUCUGCUGUGAAAUCCCGAGGCUCAACCUCGGGCCUGCAGUGGGUACGGGCAGACUAGAGUGCGGUAGGGGAGAUUGGAAUUCCUGGUGUAGCGGUGGAAUGCGCAGAUAUCAGGAGGAACACCGAUGGCGAAGGCAGAUCUCUGGGCCGUAACUGACGCUGAGGAGCGAAAGGGUGGGGAGCAAACAGGCUUAGAUACCCUGGUAGUCCACCCCGUAAACGUUGGGAACUAGUUGUGGGGACCAUUCCACGGUUUCCGUGACGCAGCUAACGCAUUAAGUUCCCCGCCUGGGGAGUACGGCCGCAAGGCUAAAACUCAAAGGAAUUGACGGGGACCCGCACAAGCGGCGGAGCAUGCGGAUUAAUUCGAUGCAACGCGAAGAACCUUACCAAGGCUUGACAUACACCAGAACACCGUAGAAAUACGGGACUCUUUGGACACUGGUGAACAGGUGGUGCAUGGUUGUCGUCAGCUCGUGUCGUGAGAUGUUGGGUUAAGUCCCGCAACGAGCGCAACCCUCGUUCUAUGUUGCCAGCACGUAAUGGUGGGAACUCAUGGGAUACUGCCGGGGUCAACUCGGAGGAAGGUGGGGAUGACGUCAAAUCAUCAUGCCCCUUAUGUCUUGGGCUUCACGCAUGCUACAAUGGCCGGUACAAAGGGCUGCAAUACCGUGAGGUGGAGCGAAUCCCAAAAAGCCGGUCCCAGUUCGGAUUGAGGUCUGCAACUCGACCUCAUGAAGUCGGAGUCGCUAGUAAUCGCAGAUCAGCAACGCUGCGGUGAAUACGUUCCCGGGUCUUGUACACACCGCCCGUCAAGUCAUGAAAGUCGGUAACAC
rnacentral:rRNA from 1 species